UCGGGAGAAAGUUGGGUUAAAGAUGAGGAUGGUGAACUUGAAAAGGGAAAUGAAGAGAGAGAUGGAGCAGAACUCAGCCGAAGAGUCGACUGAAAGAGGAAGAUGAAAACAGCGAUUCAAAGAGGAUUGGAUUCAUGGAAUGGGAACAGAAAGAUGAAGACGAAUUCGGUUAAUUGUUGCUUGAAUUUCACCAAAGAAAGAAACGAGAAAAAAGUUUCCAAGUCUGUCUAUUUAAGUCACAAAAAAAGAACUGUCAAGUA